GUGUUUUCUUUAAAAAAUUUAAAAGCAAUGGCUGCAAACAGCAUGCAGCCUCCUCUGUAGUCUAUGCAACCUGUGGCUGGUAGAAGCUAUUCUAAGGGACCGUGGAAACAGUC
rnacentral:snoRNA from 1 species